UUACAUCGUAACAUUAAAUAAUAGAUGGGGAUACAUACAAAGGGCAUAGCAAUGCCACGAGGAUAUAUCAAACAUCAUCCAUGAGAACAACAUCCGACUACGGAUGAAACACAAACACAAACUCAAACGACAUCCACCCUGCUAGCCCAGGCUGCCGACCAGGAACCUAUCCCCUGAUCGAAGAAGAAGCAGAAGGACUCGAAAACAGGCAAGCAUCGCUCUCACGUCGGAUCAUCGCAUUACAUGUACCUGCAACUGUUGUUGCGGUAAUCUGUGAGCCACGAGGACUCAGCAAUCCCAUUACCAUGGGUAUCAAGACUAGCAAAGCUUAAUGGGUAUGCAAAGGAUAAGUUGUGAGGCUGCAGCAGCACUAAGCAAUGUAUGGUGGCUAACUUAUGAGUACAAGAAUAAGAUGAGAACCUACGCAACAGUCGCAAACUAGUAAUGAUGAAGAAGUGAUCCGGAACUACUUACGGUCAAACAUAACCCAACCGUGUUCUCUUCUCGAACUCACCCGAAAAGAGACAGUCACGGUUAUGCACGCGGUUAGUUAUUUAAUUGAGUUUAGUUCAAGUUCACUACAACCGGAUAUUAAAAACUCCCAUCUACCACAUAACCGCUGGCACGGGUUUCGAAAUAUCAAACCCUGCAGGGGUGUCCCAACUUAGCCCAUGACAAGCUCUAACAAUCAAUGGAGGAUAAUCCUCCUCCCAGAACAACCCGAUCAAGCUCGGAAUCCCGGUUCACAAGACAUUUCGACAAUGGUAAAACAAGUCCAGCAAGUCCUCCCGACACGCCGACACCUUGAUAGUAGGCGUGUAUCUCAUCUCAGGCCACGGUCGGAUGAGCACAGCGUACAACACCUGAGAUUUGAGUUGCCCCGGGGGAAGCCGCACACGACUCUAGUUUGGGACCAACACCAUCAGUACUGCCCCCUGUAUUAUGUUUUAUAACAAACCUCGGGCAGUGCUAACUUCCUAUGCGUCAAGUUUAUUAUCAUGUUUAGUUAUUAUGUUGGGCAAUUGGUAAAACAAAUGUUGGGUCUUGCUGGAGGAGUUUUAUUCAAAGAGAACUAUCAAGGGGGCCCCGUAAACACCAACCGUGUUAGGAACGCAAAAUCAAGGAACAUAACACCGAUAUGACGGAAACUAGGGCGGCAUGAGUAAAACAAAUCACCAGGCAAAAGGCCGAGGCUUCCACCCAUUACCAUGUAUAUAUGUGCAUUAAUUAAAUAAGAGAUAUUGUGAUAUUCCAUGAUAUCCAUGUCCCUACAUGGAACAACCUGCACCGCACCUGCAACUAGCAACGCUAUAAGAGGUGCUGAGCAAAGCGGUAACAUAGCCAAACAAUGGUUUGUUGGGAUGGUGAAAAAGGUUAGAGACUGUUCAUGGCAAUUUGGGAGGCUUGAUAAACAAGUGGUAGGUAGCGCGACAUAGCGAUAGCAUCAGGACAACUCGCAAAGCAAAGAUAGUUAGUGAGAUCCAAGGUGACGGUCAUCUUGCCUGAAAUCCCGCUAGGAAGAAGACCGAGUCCAUGAAGUAGACGAACGGGCGUAGACAAACCAAGAGUAGUGGAACGAAUCCUCACGAUCGCAACCAAACAUGAACUAUCGAGAAGAAGCACAAUCGGAAAGAAGCAAACAACAUGGUAAACACACAAGCAUAAAAUGACAUGAAAAGAACACAUGGUACAUGCAUGAUGAACAUGAAUGCAUAUGAAGAACGUUAUGCAUGGAGCUACGGUUCUACCGGAACGAGGGGUACGUCAACGGGACGGAAAUGGUGAAGACAAGAUGGAUAUAGUGGAAGAUUUUGGUUGAAAUCGGUAUAAAGUUCACUGGAAACGGAUGCACGGUUUGCAAAUGACGAACAAAACGAUAUGCAAUGCAAUGCUGUCAAAAACAGCAGCAUGCCAACUUAGAUGCAAAGUUUAACUAUGCUACAGCAUAGCAACAUGAAAACAAAGGGCAUGGCAGUGAAGUACAUGUCAAGCAAUACAAAACAUGAUUACUCAGCUACUGCUAGAAUCCACUAGAACAUGUUUAAAACAGCAUGACAAAAUUGCAAAUGAUAACAGGUUUUCAGACUUGGUGGAAUUUACUGGACAUGACAGAAACAGAAAUGAGUAGGCAUGUUUGCAAGCCUGGUUAACUCACCUCAAAUCAUAUAAAGGCAUGCAAGCGCAAUCAACAGCCCGAUGGCAUGUUUGUGCAACUACGCAUGUCAAGAAUAUGGUCAUAGGAUGCACAUAACUCUAACUAUACACUUUGAAAAAGUGAACUUGAUGUUCAGAGGCUGACAGAUAUAUUUCAAGCAACUUGAGAGCCUGAAAGAACAAGCUACAGUAGGCUAUAAUUGCAAAUAAGGGCAUGCAUGGAUAGAUCAUAACAUGAUCUUCAAAAUAUCGUUACUGGACAUCUCCAAAAUAUGCAUAGAUUUGAUGGUAGCAUCAAGUAAACAUGGCAUCAUAAUAUAACAGUUUCAGACGGCAAAAUGAGCAUGACAUGGCAAAAUAGAUUCAUGUUAUCAUGUUUUCAAGCUUGUGGCACUCAUCACAGUGCACUUUAUAACAUGGCAUAAAAUCUAGCAUGAAGAUGGCAUGUAAAAGAGCAUGUUCAUGAACAAAGUUAUAACAUAUCACAUCUGCAUAAUUAUCCACAUAAAUGACAAGAGAGCAAUGUAAUGUAAAAUGAUAUGUGUGCAAACUUGCUUAAUGAAGAAAUGGAUGCCACCAAUGGAUUCAUUGGAUUUUUCUACCCCAAAUACAUAUAUAAUAGGUUUGGGUCACUUUAGAAAAAUCACCACAAAUGCUUAAAAUGCACUACUGCCUAAAUGAGAAAAGAUAGAAUAGGCAAUUUUCAGAAUUGGAAAUGUCCAUAAAUGGACUUGCCCGAAUAGGAACGAUUUUGUUGCCAGAAAAGGAAUAGUCUGUGUAAUUAAAAUAAAAGAUAAAGAAUAAGAGGGGGAGAGGCUGACAUGUGGGACCUGGGAGGGCUGUGAGUAUGACAGGUGGGGACCACCUGUCAGUAACCCAUUUGAACAAGAGAGUAAUGUAAUGUAAAAUGACAUGUGUGCAAACUUGAUCAAAUGAAGAAAUGGAUGCCACCAAUGGAUUCAUUGGAUCUUUCUACCCCAAAAACAUAUAUAAUAGGUUGCGUCACUUUAGAAAAAUCACCACAAAUUCUUAAAAUGCACUACUGCCUAAAAGGGAAAAGACAAAAUAGGCAAUUUUCAGAAUUGGAAAUGUCCAUAAAUGGACUUGCCCGAAUAGGAAAGAUUCCAUUGCUAGAAAAGGAAUAGUCUCUGCAAUUAAAAUAAAAUAUAAAGAAUAAGAGGGGGAGAGGCUGACAUGUGGGACCUGGGAGGGGUGUGAGUAUGACAGGUGGGGACCACCUGUCAGUGACCCAUUUGAAUAAAAAAGGGGGGUUUUAAUUUGCGCCCGCGGGGAAUCGAACCCGGGUCACCUGGGUGGAGCAGUGUGGCUCGAGCCACUUGGCUAGAGAGGGAGUACUGAUCGGAGAGGGGCUCGACCCCCUUUGAAUCAACUCCAGCGAGGGGUAGGCCCACGCGUCAGUGAGAGAAGGACAAGGGAAAACAGAGGAGGUGCUCGCCGGGGUGCAGAGAAGGCGAAGAGCUUGUCAGAGUCUCGCCGGUGGCCAAAUGGCUCGGCAGAUGAGUGCAAAGGGACCACCAAGUGAUCCCACGCACGCGCAUGCGACUCGCCGUACCAGACGAAGACUAGGGCGACACCGGCGACGAGGUACGGAGGCGGCGACGACGAGCUUGUGCUCGACGGAGAUGUGACCAAACACGGCAAGAACGAGGCGGGAUUGGCUCUGUGGGACAACAGGAACAUGCCAGACACAUGCAAGAGACCUAAGAGGGUCGGAGCACUCGCCGGAGAUGAGGUUCGACGCGAUGGGCUCGGUCGCGCGCGGCUAGCGUGAGUAGAGCAUGCAAAAGAGGGGGAGAAGGACACGGGAAGGUGCGCGCACGUACCACAAGCAUGGCAGUGUUCUUGGACGGCCGAGGGGAGGUCGGAGGCGACGACGGCGACGAGCGAACACGUUCGGCAGCAGGAGAUGAAGAAGAAGGAGGCAUCGCGGGAGAGGAUGCAGGCUCCACGUAGUCGACGUCGGGGACGUCGUGGUCGUCAUGGAAGAAGUAGGACGUGCUCGAGGGGGCUAGAUCUGUCGGAG
rnacentral:lncRNA from 1 species